rnacentral:rRNA from 1 species
UACGGAGGGUGCGAGCGUUGUUCGGAAUCAUUGGGUUUAAAGGGUGCGUAGGCGGGUCCCCAAGUUGGCGGUGAAAUGCUGCGGCUCAACCGUGGCGCCGCCGCCAAAACUGUGGGCCUAGGGUCGUGGAGGGGCGCGGGGAAUUUGUGGUGUAGCGGUGAAAUGCAUAGAUACCACAAGGAACACCGGUGGCGAAGGCGCCGCGCUGGCCGCCGACCGACGCUGAUGCACGAAAGCGCGGGUAGCGAACAGG